rnacentral:RNase_P_RNA from 1 species
GCGGGUGUCUGGGUGAUCGCUCCGAUGGACAUCGGAGAGGAAAGUCCGAACACCCUUCACGACGCAAGUCGGGAUGCCAGUGGUAGUCGCUAACAGCGACGGGGAGCAACGAUAUUGGAGUGUGCGCUAGCGCCUUCAGUAUCGCCAAACCCACGGAGAGUCUUCCCAUGGCUACUGUCAUGGGAGGGGAUCCCCUCGCGAGUCGCGCAGGACGGGGCGCGUGGGGACCGCAACAGAAAACACACCGCCAGGAAUUCUGCCUCGAAACUUCCUGGUAAGGGCGAAAUCGUGAGGUAAGAGCUCACGCGGGACUGCCCCGAGAGGGGCGCCGUGGCAAACACCUACCCGGUGCAAGGGGAGUACCCCCGCACGAGCGACGCAGUAAUGCGUCGCCAAGAGAGAUGAUCACUGUAGCGCCGCAAGGCGUGAGACAGAAUUCGGCUUACAGGACACCCGCAGCA